CGCAAGGUGAGUGGCAGACGGGUGAGUAACGCGUGGGAACCUUCCCUUUGGUACGGAAUAACUUCGGGAAACCGAAGCUAAUACCGUAUAAGUCCUUCGGGAGAAAGAUUUAUCGCCAAAGGAUGGGCCCGCGUUGGAUUAGCUAGUUGGUAGGGUAAAGGCCUACCAAGGCAACGAUCCAUAGCUGGUCUGAGAGGAUGAUCAGCCACACUGGGACUGAGACACGGCCCAGACUCCUACGGGAGGCAGCAGUGGGGAAUAUUGGACAAUGGACGCAAGCCUGAUCCAGCCAUGCCGCGUGAGUGAAGAAGGCCUUAGGG
rnacentral:rRNA from 1 species